CACUCCUACGGGAGGCAGCAGUGGGGAAUAUUGCACAAUGGGCGCAAGCCUGAUGCAGCCAUGCCGCGUGUAUGAAGAAGGCCUUCGGGUUGUAAAGUACUUUCAGCGGGGAGGAAGGCAAUACGGUUAAUAACCGUGUUGAUUGACGUUACCCGCAGAAGAAGCACCGGCUAACUCCGUGCCAGCAGCCGCGGUAAUACGGAGGGUGCAAGCGUUAAUCGGAAUUACUGGGCGUAAAGCGCACGCAGGCGGUCUGUCAAGUCGGAUGUGAAAUCCCCGGGCUCAACCUGGGAACUGCAUUCGAAACUGGCAGGCUUGAGUCUUGUAGAGGGGGGUAGAAUUCCAGGUGUAGCGGUGAAAUGCGUAGAGAUCUGGAGGAAUACCGGUGGCGAAGGCGGCCCCCUGGACAAAGACUGACGCUCAGGUGCGAAAGCGUGGGGAGCAAACAGGAUUAGAUACCCCUGUAGUCCCAUGA
rnacentral:rRNA from 1 species